AGAAAAAAAAGCCCCCCGAGCAGAUGCGGGGAGAAGAGGGGCGGCGGCGCUCCGUGAAGUGGAUGCCGGGCGGGCAGAAGAGGGGCGGGAGCAGGGACUGGGAGGAAGAGGGGCGGGGCUGGAGACGGGGAGGAAGAGGGGCGGCGAGGGUGGAGGCGGAGGAGGAGACGCGGGCGCUGUGGGGCGAGAUGGAGGAGGAGACGCGGGCGCUGUGGGGCGAGAUGGAGGAGGAGUACCGAUGCGGAGGAGGAAAUCUUCAGGAGUUGCGGGAUCGACGUCCGACCGCCGCCAAGACCGGCCUCUUGCGCAGCUCCCGGUCGCCGUCUCCUGUGCCUCCUCCCGCAUCUCCCCCACCUCGCCUGUGCAGCGCCGUGGCUGGACGUCGCUGGCGCCAUCUGCUGCAGCUCCACAGUCAACCACCUGCACGCCAUGGGAAGCAGCCAUGGAGGCCACACCUCUGGCCGCUUGCUCGCCCCUCGCCAGCCAAUACGUCCGCCAACAUCUCAUCCAUCUAGCAUAUGUGGAGGACGAUGGGAAGACGAGUUGUUCGCUAGAAGAAAUAUUGCAACACCAUGCCAGGAGCAAUAUAAGCAUUAUACUUUCUAACACUGAGAGCUUAAUUAUCUUUGAGGCAACCAGUCCGUCCAAGUAUGCAAAUAUCCGAUGCAUGUGCAAUCAGUACUUUUGCAUGUCUGAUGCAUGUAGAAAGAUCUGAAUUUGGCCAUUAAUUUCCCUUUUAAUACUUACUAAUGUUUUUAUUGUUUUGGGUGAUCCAGAGUUGAUUUGGGAUGUAGAGAUUGAAGAACAGAAAAAUCUUAGGCCAUCAGGUCAGGAUGUCAGGUUCAGAAUUGCCUUGGCAUCUUCAAGUGUGGCGAUGAUGUUGAUUAUCGGGAUUUGGAGGUAAGUGUGCUCCAUACCGUAGCUGAGCCUGUCGGGUCCGCAGAGUGGCUGCACGACACCUCAAGGACCCGAUGUGAAGGUAGCAUAUGCUAUUCUACAGUGCUUGCCCUCUGAUAUCUGAAUUGCCGGUUGUAAAGUUAGUGCUGAACUGCAGUAAUCUACUGCACUUGCAUCUGAAUUGUACAUUUAAUAAGUUAAUACUUGAGAGUUAAGAUAGAUCACUAAUCUGGUUGGGGCUCUAUCAUUGUGGCAAUUUGGCAAGCGUUGCUAGAGGUGAUAAAUCUGCAAGCAGAAAGUCAAUGUCGUUCUGCUAUGCCGCACAGUUACAGUGUUUUCACAUUAUGGAUAACUUUGUUUCCUAAAAGUAAAAUCUUUGUCAGUGCCAAGUCAGGGUGCAGGACAAGUUAGCCAUCCGUGCGAACUCGGUGGCAGCAAGGGUGUGGGGCGUCCGGAGGAGCAUCCGGGUUGAAGGUUCUGGCCCUCGCCAUCGAGACUACCAUGGUCGUCCACGAGUACAUCUGGAAUGGUUCGGCUCCGGACGCCAUCCUUCAACUCCUGUUCUAAAGUGUGCUGGUGAAAUGCAAUCAGAUCUCUCUAUCUUUCCCGCUGAGAUGUAGAGGAGCUUGGUGUUUUAGAGUCUGGUUGUUGCUGCAGGGGAAGGUGGAGCUGUGAGGAAACAAGACAGGUGG